rnacentral:lncRNA from 1 species
CACACACUGAAUCAGGAUAGCCCUGUGAAACUGUGAGAUCCAGAGAAGCGGGGAUCACAACCCGAUUUCACUGCUCCACCCCUGCAUCUAGCAUAGCACCUAGCGGCACACAGUAGGCAUUCAAUACAGGCAUCUUGAGCACAUGACUGAAUGAAGCGGGGCACCCUCCAGAAACGAAGCAAGGAGGCUGUGUGGACAGAUCCCUCCGGGUUGGACUUCUGGUUCUAAAACUGUAGCCGCCUCAGCUUUGUGACGUGGUCCAGAGCUCCUUUUCCAGGGAGGUUCCUGUCACCCACACCCCGCCUGGUGGCAUUGGAGGUACUUCCCUCUGGAAGGUGAAUUUUAUCCCCCCGCUGCUGAGAUGGAACCCAGGGUCUUACACAAGCCAGGUCCUGGGAGAGGCAGCAGGAAACUUUGCCAGAGCAACUCCUGGGUUGCAAGCUCUGGACCAAUUACAGAAAGCUUGUGAGGUCCUCCAGACACGAAGCGCCUUCCCGCCAGCUCCCCAGCGCCAGCUCAGGCUAGUAAAAAACAAUUGAGAAAGAACAUGUAGGAGAAGAGGAGUAAGGAAGACAGAAAAGGAG